GAUGAAGAACGCAGUGAAAUGCGAUAAGUAAUGUGAAUUGCAGAAUUCAGUGAAUCAUCGAAUCUUUGAACGCACAUUGCGCCCGCCAGUAUUCUGGCGGGCAUGCCUGUUCGAGCGUCAUUACAACCCUCAGGCCCCCGGGCCUGGCGUUGGGGAUCGGCGGAGCCCCCCGUGGGCACACGCCGUCCCCCAAAUACAGUGGCGGUCCCGCCGCAGCUUCCAUCGCGUAGUAGCUAACACCUCGCGACUGGAGAGCGGCGCGGCCACGCCGUAAAACACCCAACUCUUCUGAAGUUGACCUCGAAUCAGGUAGGAAUACCCGCUGAACUUAAGCAUAUCAUAAGCGGAGGA
rnacentral:misc_RNA from 1 species